AUGGGGUCGUUGCCGCCGGCGGGCGAGAGGCCGCACGCCGUGAUGAUGCCGUACCCGGCGCAGGGCCACGUGACGCCGAUGCUGAAGCUGGCCAAGCUGCUCCACACCAGGGGCUUCCACAUCACCUUCGUGAACAACGAGUUCAACCACCUCCGCCUGCUGGGCGCGCAGCAGUCGCAGGCCGCCGUGGACAGGCUCUGCAGCCUGCCGGGGUUCCGCUUCGCCACCAUCGCCGACGGCCUUCCGUCGUCCGACCUCGAGGCCUCGCGGGACACGCCCGCGCUGAUCUACUCCACCAUGACCACCUGCCGUCCCAGGUUCAAGGAGCUCGUCGUCAAUCUCAACGAGGAGGCUGAGGCCUCCGGUGGCGCCCUGCCGCCUGUCACCUGCGUGGUGGCCGAUAGCAUCACGAGCUUCGCCAUUAGCGUGGCGCGUGAGCUCGGCCUCCGCUGCGCCGUGCUCUGGACCGCCAGCGCCUGUGGUUUCAUGGGCUACUACCACUACAAGGAUCUACUCGACCGUGGACUCGUCCCUCUCAAAGAAGAGGCUCAGUUGCGCAAUGGAUACUUGGACACGAUCAUCGACUGGAUACCGGCGAUGCCCAAGGACCUGCGGCUGCGUGACCUCCCGAGCUAUUUGCGCACCGUGGACCCUGACGACAUCAUGUUCAACUUCUUCAUCCACGAGGUACCCGCCAUGUCGCAGGCGUCGGCGGUGGUCAUCAACACCUGGGACGAACUCGACGCGCCCUUGCUUGAUGCCAUGUCCAAGCUCCUGCCGCCCAUCUACACAGCGGGGCCACUCCAUUUGACGGCUCGCAACAAUGUGCCGGAGGAGAGCCCCGUCUCCGGCGUUGGGUCCAACCUGUGGAAGGAGCAGGACGCUCCCCUCCGGUGGCUCGACGGCCGGCCGCCGCGCUCCGUGGUGCACGUCAAUUUCGGGAGCACCACGGUGAUGUCCAAGGAGCAUAUGCUGGAGUUCGCGUGGGGGCUCGCCAACACUGGUUACGCCUUCCUAUGGAACGUGCGGCCUGACCUUGUCAAGGGCGACGUCAAGGCCGCACUUCCGCCGGAGUUCUAUGCGGCAACUGAGGGGCGGAGCAUGUUGUCGACAUGGUGCCCGCAGCAGGAGGUGCUGGAGCACGAGGCCGUAGGGGUGUUCCUCACGCACUCUGGCUGGAACUCGUCGCUGGAGGGCAUCUGCGGCGGCGUGCCGAUGGUGUGCUGGCCCUUCUUCGCGGAGCAGCAGACCAACUGCCGUUUCAAGUGUACGGAGUGGGGCAUCGGGAUGGAGAUUGGGGACGACGUGAGGAGGACCGAGGUGGAGGCCAUGAUACGGGAGGCCAUGGAGGGGGAGCAGGGGCGGGAGAUGCGGCGACGCGUGUUGGAGCUUCGCCAGAGCGCUGUGGCCUCCUCACGGCGUGACGGAAGGUCCAUGCGCAAUGUUGAUAGGCUCAUCAAAGAGGUGCUUCUGGCUUAA
rnacentral:rRNA from 1 species